rnacentral:rRNA from 1 species
UACGAAGGGGGGCUAGCGUUGCUCGGAAUCACUGGGCGUAAAGGGUGCGUAGGCGGGUCUUUAAGUCAGGGGUGAAAUCCUGGAGCUCAACUCCAGAACUGCCUUUGAUACUGAAGAUCUUGAGUUCGGGAGAGGUGAGUGGAACUGCGAGUGUAGAGGUGAAAUUCGUAGAUAUUCGCAAGAACACCAAUGGCGAAAGCAGCUCUCUGGGACGGUACUGACGCUGAGACGCGAAAGCGUGGGGAGCGAACAGG